AGAGAGAGAGAGAGAGAGAGAGAGAGUGUGUGUCUGUGUGUGUGUAGGUGUGUGUGUGUGUCUGUGUGUGUGUGUGUGUAGGUGUGUGUGUAGGUAUGUGUGUGUAGGUGUGUGUGUAGGUAUGUGUGGGGAUGUUUGUGUAUGGAGGUGUGGGGGUGUGGGGGGUGGGGGGUGUGUUCGUGUGCAUACAAAGUAGAUGUGCAUCUGUGUCUAUGCCAGAGAACACUGAGUGUCUUUCUCUAUCACUCUCUACCUUAUUCCCCUGAGACAAAGUGUCCUGUUGACUCUGGAGCUAGGCUGGCAGCCAUCAAGCCCCCGGGGAAUCUUCUGUCUCCAUCAUUCACAGAAGCUUGCAUGGUGCCGGGGCUUUGAAUUCAGGUCUUCAUGCUCGCCCAGCAAGCCUCAUAUCCCAGCUAUCUUCCCUGGCUCUGGGAUCUACUCCUGUGUAAGUUUCUGCAGUGCACACUGUGUCUGCGCACUGUUUUCCCAGCAUCCCCUCCC
rnacentral:lncRNA from 1 species